GGAAGAGUUGCUUAGUGGUUAGAGCAUUACAUUGUCAUUGUAAAUGUCGCGGGUUCAAAUCCCGUCUUUUCCG
rnacentral:tRNA from 1 species